GAUGAACGCUGGCGGCGUGCCUAAUACAUGCAAGUCGAGCGAACAGAUAAGGAGCUUGCUCCUUUGACGUUAGCGGCGGACGGGUGAGUAACACGUGGGUAACCUACCUAUAAGACUGGAAUAACUCCGGGAAACCGGGGCUAAUGCCGGAUAACAUUUAGAACCGCAUGGUUCUAAAGUGAAAGAUGGUUUUGCUAUCACUUAUAGAUGGACCCGCGCCGUAUUAGCUAGUUGGUAAGGUAACGGCUUACCAAGGCAACGAUACGUAGCCGACCUGAGAGGGUGAUCGGCCACACUGGAACUGAGACACGGUCCAGACUCCUACGGGAGGCAGCAGUAGGGAAUCUUCCGCAAUGGGCGAAAGCCUGACGGAGCAACGCCGCGUGUGUGAUGAAGGUCUUCGGAUCGUAAAACUCUGUUAUUAGGGAAGAACAAAUGUGUAAGUAACUGUGCACGUCUUGACGGUACCUAAUCAGAAAGCCACGGCUAACUACGUG
rnacentral:rRNA from 1 species